CAGUAGCCACGGUAAUACGUAGGUGGCGAGCGUUGUCCGGAAUUAUUGGGCGUAAAGGGAGCGCAGGCGGGCGAGUAAGUCUUUCUUAAAAGUGCGGGGCUCAACCCCGUGAGGGGAGAGAAACUACUCAUCUUGAGUGCAGGAGAGGAAAGCGGAAUUCCUAGUGUAGCGGUGAAAUGCGUAGAUAUUAGGAAGAACACCAGUGGCGAAGGCGGCUUUCUGGACUGUAACUGACGCUGAGGCUCGAAAGCCAGGGGAGCGAACGGGAUUAGAGACCCCCGUAGUCCCUGUCUCUUAUACA
rnacentral:rRNA from 1 species